GCAAUGGGACGGUCAGUCUGUCAGUCAGACAUGUUUGGCAAUGGGACGGUCAGUCAGUCAGUCAGUUAGACACGUUAGGCAAUGGGAUGUUCAGUCAGUCAGUCAGACACGUUAGGCAAUAGGACGGUCAGUCAGUCAGUCAGACAUGUUAGGCAAUGGGACGGUCAGUCAGUUAGACACGUUAGGCAAUGGGAUGGUCAGUCAGUCAGUCAGACACGUUAGGCAAUGGGACGGUCAGUCAGUCAGUCAGUCAGACAUGUUAGGCAAUGGGACAGUCAGUCAGUCAGACACGUUAGGCAAUGGGACAGUCAGUCAGUCAGACACGUUAGGCAAUGGGACAGUCAGUCAGUUAGUCAGUCAGACACAUUAGGCAAUGGGACAGUCAGUCAGUCAGACAUGUUAGGCAAUGGGACAGUGAGUCAGUCAGACACGUUAGGCAAUGGGACAGUCAGUCAGUCAGACACGUUAGGCAAUGGGACAGUCAGUCAGUCAGACACGUUAGGCAAUGGGACGGUCAGUCAGUCAGUCAGUCAGACAUGUUAGGCAAUGGGACAGUCAGUCAGUCAGACACGUUAGGCAAUGGGACAGUCAGUCCGUCAGACACGUUAGGC
ensembl:lncRNA